UCCCAUGUGGCUCAGUUGGUAGAGCAUGGUGUUUGCAAUGCCAGAGUUGUGGGUUUGAUUCCCACGGGGGAC
rnacentral:tRNA from 1 species